AUCACGCAUGCGCGCAGCACACGAGGCCUGGAAAAUGUCGGUUGAAGACUUCGGGAUAAUUCCUUUGAAUUUCGGACACCGUGGCCAGCAAUCCCGGCACAGUCCUGCUCUCUUCCCUCUCUCUCAGCCCCACGAUCCGUACACGGGCCCCGGGGAGCUUCCGGCUGAUGAGGGAAUGGGAACCGAUGGAUCUCUCAGACAGAGCUGAGCUCCAGCUAUCUAAAUGCAAGGAUUAGGAACUCGGAGAAAGGGAACAAAACUUAUCAAUCACCCAUCUGUGGACACUCUCUGGAGGUGCAAGAUCCAUACGCUCCACGACCGCUGGACUAAGUGUGUAAAUGUAGGAGUGGACUAUGUUGAAAAAUAGAUGUGCUGGAUUUUCUAAAAUUGUCUCCUUCUACCUUAGGCCACAAACUUAUCUAUCACCCCUUUUAUUUAUAUAUAGCAGUAUAACAUUAGAUGAUCAUCACCAUAAGAUGAAAGUUUAAAUCUUAGCCUUUGUUUUAAAUUAGUACUUAGUCUUUCCUGUGAUUAGAAAAUAGGGAUAAAGUAUGGUGAGGUACAUUGCUAGCAUUGUAGAUUAGCAAAGAUUCUACUUUGGAUUGGACUUCCAGAGCACAGUUACUGGAUAUCCACAGGACAGUACUGUCGAAGACUAAGAUGGUACUUUCAAAUAGAAUUGGAAAGGAAAUGAGAGUGAAUUUUUGCAGUGAUGCAGGGCAAGAGAAAAGGAUUGGUGUUGAAAGGAUAGUUCUGGUUGAUGAUCUCCUUUCAUGCCAACAAUAAUUUUAUAAUAAUUAUUCUGUGAUUCUGUGUGAAGCUUUCCCUGGUCAUUUGCCACCUCUUCUUGUGAUUCUGCUCCUAAAUGUGAAAACUUGGAGAAGUGAGUUUAAAAUUAUGCCAUUGAACUGGUUGUAAGAAUGGAUCACACCUAUUGGUCCUCAUUUGCUUUAUUCAGAGCCUUGUCAAUAGCAUAAAUAACUGAAUAAACAUUUCAUUAGAACGGGGUGGAUUAAACUGAAUAUAUAGGAUCUUUAAAUUAUACCCCUUCCCACUUAUUAUUUUCACUGGAAAAGAGAUGUUGAAAUUCUAAGUAAUCAUGACUAAAGUGUAAUAUGGUUUUAGAAAAAAAGCUCAAGGUCAAAUAAGCGUGAAACAUCUGGCGAGCAUUUUAUAGGAAGGGACAUUAAAGACAUUCAUCAUUCAUGCUGAUUUUUCCUCCCAGCACUGCUGCAAAUACACAAACCACUCCAGCUCCCUUCAGAUCUACUCCAUGCUGUGCCUGAUGAACCAGCCAAGAUUAGCAGUUCACCAUCUGUGGGAAAAAUUGAGUACAAAUACCUAAUAAGGUUGGGAUGUGUACAUUUGUCUCCCAAUUUAUGAUGUAGGAGCAUUGAUAUUAUGCUGCUUUAUGCGUAAAAUAUACAAUCCUCUUUGUUCAAUUCUUUAUUAGCUAGUGAACUUGCAAGUUUGCUUCAUGGAGUUAAGCAAUUUAAUUUUAAACAACAGCAUGAAUUGAUAAAUGUUACCAAUUUUAAAUAGCAAAAAGUUUAUAGUAUUUUUUUCCUGGGAAAAAAUAGAAGGGGGAAAAAGAAGACUUUUGGUCUGAAGUUUGAAUAGUGUUAUGAUGUGACUGCAUUUUUCGAAAGAAAAGAACAAAAAUUGUAGUUAUCCAAAUGCAGAAAGGUUAAUCCUACAUUAAAUGUGAAUUACGAUUAAGAGAUCCAAGAUAAUGUUAAUUUAAUAAAAUAAUUUAAAUCCAAUUAUUGCUUUAAAUCUACAUUAUACGUGAAAGAAUGCAUUUUAGGUAGCUCAACACCUCAUGCAGGUCAGUCAGGUAUCUCUGCUCCCUUUAAACUUGCACGUUUCUGUUUCCCAGAUGCCUUUGAAACUUACUUUGACCUUAUUUUCUGAGCUUCUUUUAAACUUGCAGGUUAUGUGGAAUGCAUCAUUCUAUAAUGUGAUGUCUAAAAACAGUGAUUUGGAAGUGAGGUAUGAUGUAUUAAUAUGAGAACAUCUAAUAAUACAGAAAAUCUGCUGGUCCGACACCCAAGACCCAACCAUGGCAGGUUCACUAAGUUUUACUGUGGUUCGUCACAUGUUUGGAGGGCUGUCGCCUGAAAGUAAUGAUCAUUAAUCACCAUCAAUGUUACAUAGUUCACACUAAAAAUAAAAGCACAAGGGAGAAAUCGGCCUCUGCCGCACCUUUUUUUCAGAGUGCUCAGUGGUUCAUUUGAAAUCAGGUACAGAAUUUACCUGCACUUCUGAUGGGAAAUCUGUUGGAUGUGUUUCUGACAGACAUAAACCCAAAAAAUGUUAUGAGUCAAUGCACCAAGUGGAUUGAACGCCAGCACUUUUGAACAUUGUGUUUCAGCCUAUUCUGUUUCAAUCUUUAUGAAAUGUGAAAUAAUAUGAAAGGUCUAGAACAGGGGUGGGCAAACUUUUUGACAUGUGGGCCACAAAGGGUUCUAAAAUUUGACAGGGGGGCCAGACCAGGAGCAGAUGGACGGAGUGUUUUGGUAAUACACCUCAUAAGAGAAAAUAAAAUAUCAUGGGAUAUGUAGAAAACAUGUGCUUUAAUUUCAAUUGAAAAUGAACAAAUGCAUUACAACAAAAUAUCUGUCUUUGAAGUCCCAUGGUAUUUAGCUAUUUAUUGAAAUGACUUUUAAAACACUGAAAAUUAAAUUAAUAAAAUACAGCUUUUUUAAAUAGUAACAGUUAUUAUUUUAAAGCACUGAAAAUUCUGUUAUCCUUCAAGAUAUUAUCAUCAUCACUCUCCUCCUGACUGUCUUUAUUUCAAAACCGGUAGGAGAUGCAGGUCUACUUGUCCUCCUCCUUCUUAUUCAAUAGUCCCCUGUGCCAAAACUCAACAACGACCAGCACAAAGACAGAACAAUGCCAGCGUGCCAGU